UGACCAUCUUCUUACCAGAGGAUUAAGGCUACACGGACGGCCGGGUCAAAUGCCGA
rnacentral:sRNA from 1 species